UAUAAAUGGCCCUUGGCCGGCCACCUCCACUCCUCUUGCUCUCAUUUUCUUCUCUCCACUCACUCCUCCACCUUAUCUACUCCCUCACACUCUUCUCCUACUCUCCCCCACGAAAAUGCAGCUCCCCUAGCUUCCAUGGCUGGCCAUGGCCAUGGAAAUCCCCCAAGAUGAAGCUAUCCUCCUCCCUCAAGCUCAUCCUCACCAUGAGAGCAUCUCUCUCUCUCUUUUCCCCCAACCCUAGCUGAUUUCCUCUCCUCUUCUUCUUCCUCCAUUGCUAAGAUUGGAUCUUGAUGCAGGUGCAUGUUGGUCCAAGCAUGGAGAAGGUUGAGCUAUUCUCAGAUCUGAAGUUCUUGAGCAAAAUCCAAAUCGAGUGAUUCAAAGUUCCACAAAUAGGUAUUGAAAAUAUCUACAACUUGGCGUUGGUCUCAUCCUCAAAUUCGUUACGGAUUUUGCAUGAUCAAGAUCUGGUCAGAUCUGACUUUGUCGAAUUAAACCAGGAGCUUGGAAACGAAUUUUUGAAUGAAACCAGUUGGGGGUACUUAGCUUGUGCCAUGGUGAUACCGAGAGAGGCAAUUGCUAAGUUGUGAUACUCUCAUACCUUUACUAGAUGCGAACGAUUCCGGAGAAGAUGAAGAAGUGGAAUUGGACAAGGAUUUUAUUUAUAUUGUUGGGAUUCUUAUAUUGAUAGAGUUGAAGAAGUACAGGGACAAAUAAG